rnacentral:rRNA from 1 species
GAUGAACGCUGGCGGCGUGCCUAAUACAUGCAAGUCGAGCGAACGGACGAGAAGCUUGCUUCUCUGAUGUUAGCGGCGGACGGGUGAGUGACACGUGGAUAACCUACCUAUAAGGCUGGGAUAACUUCGGGAAACCGGAGCUAAUACCGGAUAAUAUUUUGAACCGCAUGGUUCAAAAGUGAAAGACGGUCUUGCUGUCACUUAUAGAUGGAUCCGCGCUGCAUUAGCUAGUUGGUAAGGUAACGGCUUACCAAGGCAACGAUGCAUAGCCGACCUGAGAGGGUGAUCGGCCACACUGGAACUGAGACACGGUCCAGACUCCUACGGGAGGCAGCAGUAGGGAAUCUUCCGCAAUGGGCGAAAGCCUGACGGAGCAACGCCGCGUGAGUGAUGAAGGUCUUCGGAUCGUAAAACUCUGUUAUUAGGGAAGAACAUAUGUGUAAGUAACUGUGCACAUCUUGACGGUACCUAAUCAGAAAGCCACGGCUAACUACGUG